rnacentral:rRNA from 1 species
GAUGAACGCUAGCUACAGGCUUAACACAUGCAAGUCGAGGGGUAGCAGGGUAGCAAUACCGCUGACGACCGGCGCACGGGUGAGUAACACGUAUCCAACCUUCCGUUCACACGGGGAUAGCCUUCUGAAAGGGAGAUUAAUACCCGAUAGUAUAAGGAUAUCGCAUGAUAUUUUUAUUAAAUGAAUUUCGGUGAUCGAUGGGGAUGCGUUCCAUUAGAUAGUUGGUGAGGUAACGGCUCACCAAGUCCGCGAUGGAUAGGGGUUCUGAGAGGAAGGUCCCCCACACUGGAACUGAGACACGGUCCAGACUCCUACGGGAGGCAGCAGUGAGGAAUAUUGGUCAAUGGGCGAGAGCCUGAACCAGCCAAGUAGCGUGAGGGAUGACUGCCCUAUGGGUUGUAAACCUCUUUUAUAAGGGAAUAAAGGACUUUACGUGUAGAGUUUUGUAUGUACCUUACGAAUAAGCAUCGGCUAACUCCGUGCCAGCCGCCGCAGUAAUAC